rnacentral:rRNA from 1 species
UACAGAGGUCUCAAGCGUUUGUUCGGAUUCAUUGGGCGUAAAGGGUGCGUAGGUGGCGCGCUAAGUCAGGUGUGAAAUUUCGGAGCUUAACUCCGAAACUGCAUUUGAUACUGGCGUGCUUGAGGACUGGAGAGGAGACUGGAAUUCACGGUGUAGCAGUGAAAUGCGUAGAUAUCGUGAGGAAGACCAGUGGCGAAGGCGGGUCUCUGGACAGUUCCUGACACUGAGGCACGAAGGCCAGGGGAGCAAACGGG